rnacentral:rRNA from 1 species
UUGGAGGGCAAGUCUGGUGCCAGCAGCCGCGGUAAUUCCAGCUCCAAUAGCGUAUAUUAAAGUUGUUGCAGUUAAAAAGCUCGUAGUUGAAUUUCGUGAUCAUCAGGUUGGUCGUGCCAUCGGUAUGUACUAGCUUUGGUGGUUCCUACCCCUUGAAGAACCGUAAUGUCAUUAACUUGGUGUUGCGGGGAAUCAGGACUGUUACUUUGAAAAAAUUAGAGUGUUUAAAGCAGGCAAACGCUUGAAUACAUUAGCAUGGAAUAAUGAAAUAGGACGUUUGAUCUUAUUUUGUUGGUCUCUAGGAUCGACGUAAUGAUUAAUAGGGAUAGUUGGGGGCAUUAGUAUCCAAUUGUCAGAGGUGAAAUUCUUGGAUUUAUUGAAGACUAACUACUGCGAAAGCAUUUGCCAAGGAUGUUUUCAUUAAUCAAGAACGAAAGUUAGGGGAUCGAAGACGAUCAGAUACCGUCGUAGUCUUAACCAUAAACUAUGCCGACUAGGGAUCGGAUGAUGUUAAUUUUUUAAUGACUCAUUCGGCGCCUUACGGGAAAC